rnacentral:tRNA from 1 species
UUUAAAAUAAGCUAAAUAAAGCUAAUGAGUUCAUACCUCACUUAUAUUGGUUUCAACCCAUUUUUUAAAA